rnacentral:rRNA from 1 species
AUUGAACGCUGGCGGCAUGCUUUACACAUGCAAGUCGAACGGUAACAGGCCGCAAGGUGCUGACGAGUGGCGAACGGGUGAGUAAUGCAUCGGAACGUGCCCAGUCGUGGGGGAUAACGCAGCGAAAGCUGUGCUAAUACCGCAUACGAUCUAUGGAUGAAAGCGGGGGACCGUAAGGCCUCGCGCGAUUGGAGCGGCCGACGUCAGAUUAGCUAGUUGGUGGGGUAAAGGCCCACCAAGGCGACGAUCUGUAGCUGGUCUGAGAGGACGACCAGCCACACUGGGACUGAGACACGGCCCAGACUCCUACGGGAGGCAGCAGUGGGGAAUUUUGGACAAUGGGCGCAAGCCUGAUCCAGCAAUGCCGCGUGCAGGAAGAAGGCCUUCGGGUUGUAAACUGCUUUUGUACGGAACGAAACGGUCUGGGUUAAUACCCUGGGCUAAUGACGGUACCGUAAGAAUAAGCACCGGCUAACUACGUGCCAGCAGCCGCAGUAA